rnacentral:lncRNA from 1 species
AUGAAAAAUACGGGGGGAGCGCGGAGAGAGGAGCCCCUUCGAAUUGGAGAGCGGGAGGCGCUUGGAAAUGCGGGAUUCCCCCCGCGGGGCUCCCUCCGGCCGCUUCUCCGGGACAGCCGCCGGUUUUCUUCUCGCAGCCUUUACCGGCAGCGGCAGCGGAGCUUUCGCAGCGCUCGGGGCGCCCCGGGGCCGUUCCCGGUGUCAUUCCCGGUGCUGCUCCGGGGCCAUUCCCGGGACCUCUCUGGGGCCGUUCCCGGUGUCAUUCCCGGUGCUGCUCCGGGGCCAUUCCCGGGACCUCUCUGGGGCCGUUCCCGGUGUCAUUCCCGGUGCUGCUCCGGGGCCAUUCCCGGGAGCUCCCUCCGGCCGCUUCUCCGGGACAGCCGCCGGUUUUCUUCUCGCAGCCUUUACCGGCAGCGGCAGCGGAGCUUUCGCAGCGCUCGGGGCGCCCCGGGGCCGUUCCCGGUGUCAUUCCCGGUGCUGCUCCGGGGCCAUUCCCGGGACCUCUCUGGGGCCGUUCCCGGUGUCAUUCCCGGUGCUGCUCCGGGGCCAUUCCCGGGACCUCUCUGGGGCCGUUCCCGGUGUCAUUCCCGGUGCUGCUCCGGGGCCAUUCCCGGGACCUCUCUGGGGCCGUUCCCGGUGUCAUUCCCGGUGCUGCUCCGGGGCCAUUCCCGGGACCUCUCUGGGGCCGUUCCCGGUGUCAUUCCCGGUGCUGCUCCGGGGCCAUUCCCGGGACCUCUCUGGGGCCGUUCCCGGUGUCAUUCCCGGUGCUGCUCCGGGGCCAUUCCCGGGACCUCUCUGGGGCCGUUCCCGGUGUCAUUCCCGGUGCCGUUCCCGGGACUUUCUGUGGCCGUUCCCGGUGUCAUUCCCGGUGCUGCUCCGGGGCCGUUCCCGAGACCUCUCUGGGGCCGCUCCGGGGCUGUUCCCGGCCCUUUUCCGGUGUUAUUCCCGGGCUGUUCCCGAGGCCAUUCCCGGGACGAUCCCAGUGUCGUUCCCGGCCCGUUCCCGAUGUUAUUCCCGGGCUAUUCCUGGUGUCAUUCCCGGGCCGUUCCCAGUGUUAGUCCCGGGCUGUUCCCGGUGUUUUUCCCUAUGUUAUUCCCGGGCUAUUCCUGGUGUCGUUCCCGGAGUUAUUCCCGGCCCGUUCCCGGUGUUUUUCCCUAUGUUAUUCCCGGGCCAUUCCCGGUGUUAUUCCCGGGCCCGCUCCGGUCUCACCUGCCCGCGGGCGCUCCGCGCGGCGUGUGUCGCCCCCCAGGGGACACCGCGGGGACUGCAGCGCUCCCCGGCACCGCCCGGGCGCGGGGACAGGGACAGACGGACCGAGGGACAGACAUGGGGACAGAGAGACAGGGACAGACAGACAGGGAUAGAGGGACAGAGGGACAGGGACAGAGACGGGGACAGAGAUGGGGACAGAUGGACAGAGAUGGGGACAAUGAGAGACUGAUCAGGAAAAGAGGAAAGAGAGAGAAACGGUGGAGAGAGGAUGAAGGUGAGAACAACGGAGAGAGAGAGGAUGAGUGGAGAAAAUAA